rnacentral:tRNA from 13 species
GCGGGUAUGGCGGAACAGCAGACGCGCUAGCUUCAGGAGCUAGUGGGAGUAAUCCUGUGGAGGUGCAAAUCCUCCUACCCGCACAA